GACGAACGCUGGCGGCGUGCUUAACACAUGCAAGUCGAACGGAAAGGCCCUGCUUUUGUGGGGUGCUCGAGUGGCGAACGGGUGAGUAACACGUGAGUAACCUGCCUUUGACUUUGGGAUAACUUCAGGAAACUGGGGCUAAUACCGGAUAGGAGCUCCUGCUGCAUGGUGGGGGUUGGAAAGUUUCGGCGGUUGGGGAUGGACUCGCGGCUUAUCAGCUUGUUGGUGGGGUAGUGGCUUACCAAGGCUUUGACGGGUAGCCGGCCUGAGAGGGUGACCGGCAACAUUGGGGCUGAGAAACGGCGCAGACUCUCCCGGGGGGCAGCAGUGCGGAAUAUAGCCCACUGGGCGGAAGCCUGAUGCAGCAACGCCGCGUGCGGGAGGACGGCCUUCGGGUUGUAAACCGCUUUCGCCUGUGACGAAGCGUGAGUGACGGUAAUGGGCAAAGAAGCACCGGCUAACUACGU
rnacentral:rRNA from 1 species